rnacentral:rRNA from 1 species
GAAUCUUCCACAAUGGGCGCAAGCCUGAUGGAGCGACGCCGCGUGAGGGAAGAAGGUUUUCGGAUCGUAAACCUCUGAAUCUGGGACGAAAGACGCGACGAGCGGGAUGACGUGUACCAGAGUAAUGAGCACUCGGCUAACUCCGUG